UACGAAGGGGGGCUAGCGUUGUUCGGAAUUACUGGGCGUAAAGCGCACGUAGGCGGAUAUUUAAGUCAGGGGGUGAAAUCCCAGAGCUCAACUCUGGAACUGCCUUUGAUACUGGGUAUCUUGAGUAUGGAAGAGGUGAGUGGAAUUCCGAGUGUAGAGGUGAAAUUCGUAGAUAUUAGGAAGAACACCAGUGGCGAAGGCGGCUCACUGGUCCGGUACUGACGCUGAGGUGCGAAAGCGUGGGGAGCAAACAGG
rnacentral:rRNA from 1 species